rnacentral:rRNA from 1 species
UACGUAGGGUGCAAGCGUUGCCCGGAUUUAUUGGGCGUAAAGGGCGCGUAGGCGGUCCGCCAAGUCAGGGGUGAAAUCCUGCAGCUUAACUGUAGAAGUGCCUCUGAUACUGGCGGUCUUGAGGGAAAUAGGGGUGUGCGGAACUUCCAGUGGAGCGGUGAAAUGCGUUGAUAUUGGAAGGAACGCCGGAGGCGAAAGCGGCGCACUGGAUUUCUUCUGACGCUGAGGCGCGAAAGCUAGGGGAGCAAACGGG